CAAAGUAUCUUCUGCCCACUGAUUAAAUUUGAAUGGCCGCAGUACUCUGACUGUGCUAAGGUAGCGUGAUUCUUGUUUUCUUAAUUAGAAAUCUGUUCAAAGAAUGAUAUGGAGAGAAUCUAUUGUUUUCAUAUUGAGUGAAUUUAAAAUGUUAGUGAAAAUUCUGACGUGUCCUUAAAAGACGAGAAGACCCCAUAAAACUUAAUUUGAUCUAAUAAUCCUUUGGUUUAAAAUUUAAAUGGGGACUUUAGAGUAUACUAAUAACUUAAAGACCUAUAUUUUUAUUCUUUGAGAAGCUACUUUGGGGAUAACAGGGUAAAAUAUUGGAGAGUUCAUAUCGAUA
rnacentral:rRNA from 1 species